GUUCCACACACACUAGAGCUGCUGCUGCUUCUGCUUCUUCUCUCACAGGGACACAGAGAAAUGAGCCGAGAGCUGCAAAUCUAACACUGCUGCUGCUGCUGAUACUGCCGGGACAUACUAACACUGGGACCUCCCCCCUCCUCACACUCACUCGCUACUUCCUAACCGCUCCGGACUCACCCAAACAGCGUGACGGGGGGGGACAAUCACGGGGGACAUACCAUGUGGCACACGGCCUGCGGGGGUCACUCACCAGGAGACUUCUGAGGAGAAUAUCAGGCUUAUAUAUGAGGAGAUGAUGGAAGACGAGGAGCUGUGAGGAAUAGAAGUAGUUGGAGGGGUUUAUAGAGUCAAUAAGUGAAUGAGGAGCCGAUGGGACGAGAGAGAUGAAUAUUUGUCAGGGGCGCAGGUUACAAGGUGUCUCAUUCCAUGAGCAGAGAUAGGGCUGAGGGAGGCUACACAUAGUCACACACAGUCAGUCACACACACAUAGUGACAGCAGUGCCGCAGAGCGAGGAGGCAGCAGGGAGACACCACUUCUCUCAGGGGCCCCGCUUAACCCGUUCCAUGCCGGGCCAGUGUGUUGAGCCAGUCAGUGGGGAGGACUGAGGGCACUUGGUUUAGUCCAUUAGUCUCUGAUGAACUUGUGUCACUGAUAUAAUAAUAAUAAUGACUGACAGACAAUAUACGAGACAUUAUUUCUAUUCAGGGAGUGAGACAAGUGGCGAAUGUGACAAUUAAAGGAGAAGUGCAGAAGUCAAGGCCACAUGUGAGUGACAGGAACCUGGAAGGCUAUCUGAAAAUAUGUCCAGCAUUUUAACAACCGUCAGCAAUAUCUACUGCUCACAGCUUCUUUCAUAUACACAUGUGAGGGAGUUGAUUAGCGAAAUACAUUUCCUGUGUUUCUGGCAACUGACUGUUUGGACAUGGCCAGGAUCAGGCUAGUGUGUCUGGGAUCCACCUCAAGAGUCCAGCCACACCCCAUCAUGAACCCCCAACUCCAGGUAAGGUCUCCCUGUUGUUUAUAACUGUGUCAUCAAAGCGUUUGGUCUGUUACUGUCUCCUAGUCUGAGAACCGGUAGAUAUCACCUCUGCAAGAGUUUCAUUGGUGGAAGCAUGCCUAUCUGGUAAAGAAGGAUGGAUUUUGGACAUCCCUGGAGCCAUUUUUGAUGGCACUAUUUAAAAGGUUUUAAUUACCCCAAGAGAAUUUAUCAGUAUAUGAGAUUAUCAAACCUAUAUUCCUCAUUAAAAGCCUGAUUAGUUAAAAAAAAAACUUGAAAAUGGAUUCUCUUGCAUUAUUCACACCUCUAGUUUUGUCAGUGUGAUAUUAGAGCCUUCAGUGUAUUUUUGUUUCAUCCAGGAACUUUGUUGGUUGGUUGGUUUCAGCUUGCUCUUCUCUAGACUGAGAUGAGGAUCAAGACAUGAUUCCCUCUGAUUAGUUGCUAUAAGUGACUACUAAUUAAGCAAACUUUUCAUAUUUUAUUAAAUGACAUGUGUUAUCAUCUUCAAGCUACCAAGAUAUUUUUCAAUGUUCCUGGAAAGGCAUGGAGGUCACAUGGUAACUGAAUAUCUUUGUAUGAACAAUAUUAUUUAUUUUCUCUGAGAGGCUGCAUUCGUAUUAUAAUAUUAAUGCAGUAGAGUACCUAUGUAUACAGCAGACCCCUUAGUCGCACGGAGGGGGGGUGGCCUGGCCAACAGGGGGUGAGUCGUAUCAUUUUCCCCUCUCUCCAGCCCCUUUUCUGCCUGGGGGCUGAGUAACAUAAUAAUGGGUAGGGAAUACUGGGGAGAGCUAUAUGUUACUCUUGUUGAAAACUCAUUGAGCAAUAAGUGAUGUUUUAAAUAAUGGAAUCUUUUAGAAUGUGUCAGUUAUAUAUCCCCAUCUGGAAAUCUAUUCCACUGUAUUGUGUGAUUAACUGGAGGUGUCAGGAAAUUGUAACACAAAAUAAGAAAGAUAGGGGAACUAUCGUGAAAAUAAAUUUAAUAUACUGAAAUAAGAAACUUUCUAA